rnacentral:rRNA from 1 species
UACGUAGGGUGCGAGCGUUGUCCGGAAUUAUUGGGCGUAAAGAGCUCGUAGGCGGCUUGUCGCGUCGGAUGUGAAAGCCCGGGGCUUAACUCCGGGUCUGCAUUCGAUACGGGCAGGCUAGAGUGCGGUAGGGGAGAUUGGAAUUCCUGGUGUAGCGGUGGAAUGCGCAGAUAUCAGGAGGAACACCGAUGGCGAAGGCAGAUCUCUGGGCCGUAACUGACGCUGAGGAGCGAAAGCAUGGGGAGCGAACAGG